AAAAAGAAGUGUUCUCUCUGUUUUAAUUUCUCCCCUUUCUUUUUCUGCGAAACCCUAGAGACUGUCUCUAAUUUUGUUUUGCGUUGAAAUCGUGAAAUUAAGCGCGCUACUUUCGCAGUACACUGGGCAGAAUUACGAAGGUGAGUUUGUUUAUUUUUUUUUUUUGCAUAUUGUUUUCUUCCGGUGAAUUUUGGAUGCUGAAGAUCUAUGUUUUGAUUGGGGAUUAUUUUUUCUCCCGUUAAAAAAAAUUUAGUAAUUGAUGCGCCAACUUAAUUGAAUUAAUCAUUGAGAUUGAGUUUGAAUUGAGUUGUUUUUUUUUUUUUUUUUUUUUUUUUUUUUUUAUCAUUUCGCUGAGUAGUUUAUGUUUUUCUGCUAUUGAUAUUUGAGAAAACAUCAUGCUGAGAUUAUCAAAUUUUUGUUUGGCGAUGUUUGUGUAUUAAUGAAGUCCCUGCUUUUGAUUAUGUGUAUUACUAUGACCCCUCGAUAUUUGUGACAAAGAAAAUGUAUAACUCGUUUCGAGCUUUUCCAUUUAUCCUUCUGACACCAUUUUUUUUUAAAUUAUCUACAAAUGUUAUUUAACAAGUGAAUGGCAUGAUAACCAGUUACUGAUGGUAAUACAUACAAACAAGAUGAAGAAAGAGAAACUUAUGAAUUCACGAUACAAUUUGAGAAACCAAAUUCUUGCCCCUGCACGGCUAAUUCUUUCCUUGUGGGUCGAAUGGUUGAACAUUUUCCUUCCUUUUCUUAAUGGUUCCUUUUGUUUCAGAUUCUAUGACAGAUCGUCCAGUGCACAGUGAGUACCAUUCUGGAGAUGCGUGGAGUGGAUCUUUUGAAUAUGUUCAACUUCUCGGCGCAUUGGACC
rnacentral:lncRNA from 1 species